rnacentral:rRNA from 1 species
AUACGUAGGGGGCGAGCGUUGUCCGGAAUGAUUGGGCGUAAAGGGCGCGUAGGCGGCCCGGUAAGUCUGGAGUGAAAGUCCUGUUUUUAAGAUGGGAAUUGCUUUGGAUACUGUCGGGCUUGAGUGCAGGAGAGGUAAGUGGAAUUCCCAGUGUAGCGGUGAAAUGCGUAGAGAUUGGGAGGAACACCAGUGGCGAAGGCGACUUACUGGACUGUAACUGACGCUGAGGCGCGAAAGUGUGGGGAGCAAACAGGAUUAGAUACCCUGGUAGUCCACACUGUAAACGAUGAAUGCCAGGUGUAGGGGGUAUCGACCCCUUCUGUGCCGCGGUCAACACAAUAAGCAUUCCGCCUGGGGAGUACGGCCGCAAGGUUGAAACUCAAAUGAAUUGGCGGGG